rnacentral:lncRNA from 1 species
CUACCAUUAAAACAUGUUCUGGACUCCUGGUUGUGUCAUUCCUGCUGAAUACGGUUUUACUCUUCAAGGUGUUUCACAUGCACAGGAAGUCAAAAACAUCCAGAGAGAUGACACACUUAGAGUUACAAGUAAAUGAAUCAUUUUAGCACUUCGUGGGUCACCUGUUGAUGUGUUUCUCCAGCUACAUAAUCAUUCUCCAGUCAUCUGUUACUGCAUCCACACUCUCUAUGCAUGACACAGUGCUGUUUUUAAAUCUGUGACUUGCAAUGUGCCUGACAUGCCCACACAGCUUGUGUAUUUUUCAGUUUCUAAUUGUAAUUGUCUUGAAUGUGCCUCUGUAACUGUUAUCCAUCAUCUAUCAGGUACAUGGGAUAUGUUUUAAGAAAUACUUUAAAUAUACCAUAAUUUGCAAUAGAAGAAACCCCCUCUUUUUAACACUUUAUUUUAUUAAUCUUGGUAUUUA